CGAACUCUGGUAUUGAUUGGUGCUUGCAUCAUGAUUUACAUUUGAGUGAGUGGCGAACUGGUGAGUAACACGUGGGAAACCUGCCCAGAAGCGGGGGAUAACACCUGGAAACAGAUGCUAAUACCGCAUAACAACUUGGACCGCAUGGUCCGAGUUUGAAAGAUGGCUUCGGCUAUCACUUUUGGAUGGUCCCGCGGCGUAUUAGCUAGAUGGUGGGGUAACGGCUCACCAUGGCAAUGAUACGUAGCCGACCUGAGAGGGUAAUCGGCCACAUUGGGACUGAGACACGGCCCAAACUCCUACGGGAGGCAGCAGUAGGGAAUCUUCCACAAUGGACGAAAGUCUGAUGGAGCAACGCCGCGUGAGUGAAGAAGGGUUUCGGCUCGUAAAACUCUGUUGUUAAAGAAGAACAUAUCUGAGAGUAACUGUUCAGGUAUUGACGGUAUUUAACCAGAAAGCCACGGCUAACUACGUGCCAGCAGCCGCGGUAAUACGUAGGUGGCAAGCGUUGUCCGGAUUUAUUGGGCGUAAAGCGAGCGCAGGCGGUUUUUUAAGUCUGAUGUGAAAGCCUUCGGCUCAACCGAAGAAGUGCAUCGGAAACUGGGAAACUUGAGUGCAGAAGAGGACAGUGGAACUCCAUGUGUAGCGGUGAAAUGCGUAGAUAUAUGGAAGAACACCAGUGGCGAAGGCGGCUGUCUGGUCUGUAACUGACGCUGAGGCUCGAAAGUAUGGGUAGCAAACAGGAUUAGAUACCCUGGUAGUCCAUACCGUAAACGAUGAAUGCUAAGUGUUGGAGGGUUUCCGCCCUUCAGUGCUGCAGCUAACGCAUUAAGCAUUCCGCCUGGGGAGUACGGCCGCAAGGCUGAAACUCAAAGGAAUUGACGGGGGCCCGCACAAGCGGUGGAGCAUGUGGUUUAAUUCGAAGCUACGCGAAGAACCUUACCAGGUCUUGACAUACUAUGCAAAUCUAAGAGAUUAGACGUUCCCUUCGGGGACAUGGAUACAGGUGGUGCAUGGUUGUCGUCAGCUCGUGUCGUGAGAUGUUGGGUUAAGUCCCGCAACGAGCGCAACCCUUAUUAUCAGUUGCCAGCAUUAAGUUGGGCACUCUGGUGAGACUGCCGGUGACAAACCGGAGGAAGGUGGGGAUGACGUCAAAUCAUCAUGCCCCUUAUGACCUGGGCUACACACGUGCUACAAUGGAUGGUACAACGAGUUGCGAACUCGCGAGAGUAAGCUAAUCUCUUAAAGCCAUUCUCAGUUCGGAUUGUAGGCUGCAACUCGCCUACAUGAAGUCGGAAUCGCUAGUAAUCGCGGAUCAGCAUGCCGCGGUGAAUACGUUCCCGGGCCUUGUACACACCGCCCGUCACACCAUGAGAGUUUGUAACACCCAAAGUCGGUGGGGUAACCUU
rnacentral:rRNA from 2 species